rnacentral:rRNA from 1 species
CCGGCGAGGGGAGUGAAAAAGAACCUGAAACCGUGUACGUACAAGCAGUGGGAGCACCCUUCGGGGUGUGACUGCGUACCUUUUGUAUAAUGGGUCAGCGACUUAUAUUCUGUAGCAAGGUUAACCGAAUAGGGGAGCCGGAGGGAAACCGAGUCUUAAUUGGGCGUUAAGUUGCAGGGUAUAGACCCGAAACCCGGUGAUCUAGCCAUGGGCAGGUUGAAGGUUGGGUAACACUAACUGGAGGACCGAACCGACUAAUGUUGAAAAAUUAGCGGAUGACCUGUGGCUGGGGGUGAAAGGCCAAUCAAACCGGGAGAUAGCUGGUUCUCCCCGAAAGCUAUUUAGGUAGCGCCUCGUGAAUUCAUCUCCGGGGGUAGAGCACUGUUUCGGCUAGGGGGCCAUCCCGGCUUACCAACCCGAUGCAAACUGCGAAUACCGGAGAAUGUUAUCACGGGAGACACACGGCGGGUGCUAACGUCCGUCGUGAAGAGGGAAACAACCCAGACCGCCAGCUAAGGUCCCAAAGUCAUGGUUAAGUGGGAAACGAUGUGGGAAGGCCCAGACAGCCAGGAUGUUGGCUUAGAAGCAGCCAUCAUUUAAAGAAAGCGUAAUAGCUCACUGGUCGAGUCGGCCUGCGCGGAAGAUGUAACGGGGCUAAACCAUGCACCGAAGCUGCGGCAGCGACACUGUGUGUUGUUGGGUAGGGGAGCGUUCUGUAAGCCUGUGAAGGUGUGUCGUGAGGCAUGCUGGAGGUAUCAGAAGUGCGAAUGCUGACAUAAGUAACGAUAAAGCGGGUGAAAAGCCCGCUCGCCGGAAGACCAAGGGUUCCUGUCCAACGUUAAUCGGGGCAGGGUGAGUCGACCCCUAAGGCGAGGCCGAAAGGCGUAGUCGAUGGGAAACGGGUUAAUAUUCCCGUACUUGGUGUUACUGCGAAGGGGGGACGGAGAAGGCUAUGUUGGCCGGGCGACGGUUGUCCCGGUUUAAGCGUGUAGGUGUGUGUUCCAGGUAAAUCCGGUUCACUUUAACACUGAGGCGUGACGACGAGGCACUACGGUGCUGAAGCAACAAAUGCCCUGCUUCCAGGAAAAGCCUCUAAGCAUCAGGUAACAUCAAAUCGUACCCCAAACCGACACAGGUGGUCAGGUAGAGAAUACCAAGGCGCUUGAGAGAACUCGGGUGAAGGAACUAGGCAAAAUGGUGCCGUAACUUCGGGAGAAGGCACGCUGACACGUAGGUGAAGUGAUUUACUCAUGGAGCUGAAGUCAGUCGAAGAUACCAGCUGGCUGCAACUGUUUAUUAAAAACACAGCACUGUGCAAACACGAAAGUGGACGUAUACGGUGUGACGCCUGCCCGGUGCCGGAAGGUUAAUUGAUGGGGUCAGCGCAAGCGAAGCUCCUGAUCGAAGCCCCGGUAAACGGCGGCCGUAACUAUAACGGUCCUAAGGUAGCGAAAUUCCUUGUCGGGUAAGUUCCGACCUGCACGAAUGGCGUAAUGAUGGCCAGGCUGUCUCCACCCGAGACUCAGUGAAAUUGAACUCGCUGUGAAGAUGCAGUGUACCCGCGGCAAGACGGAAAGACCCCGUGAACCUUUACUAUAGCUUGACACUGAACAUUGAGCCUUGAUGUGUAGGAUAGGUGGGAGGCUUUGAAGCGUGGACGCCAGUCUGCGUGGAGCCGACCUUGAAAUACCACCCUUUAAUGUUUGAUGUUCUAACGUGGACCCGU